rnacentral:rRNA from 1 species
AUUGAACGCUGGCGGCAGGCCUAACACAUGCAAGUCGAGCGGAGCGGCGGACGGGUGAGUAAUGCUUAGGAAUCUGCCGAUUAGUGGGGGACAACAUCUCGAAAGGGAUGCUAAUAACGCAUACUAAUAGAUGAGCAUAAGUCGGAUUGGCUAGUUGGUGGGGUAAAGGCCUAACAAGGCGACGAUCUGUAGCGGGUCUGAGAGGAGGAUCCGCCACACUGGGACUGAGACACGGCCCAGACGCCUACGGGAGGCAGCAGUGGGGAAUAUGGGACAAUGGGGGGAACCCUGAUCCAGCCAUGCCGCGUGUGUGAAGAAGGCCUUAUGGUUGUAAAGCACUUUAAGCGAGGAGGCGUUACUCGCAGAAUAAGCACCGGCUAACUCUGUGCCAGCAGCCGCGGUAAUAC